AAGAUUCCACUAUGACCGACUGCAAAGCAAUGUAGUAAUAUUUCAGCUUAGAUGAUAUUUAAGGAUAAAUGUAGCCCUUUUAGUGACAGGGAAAGCCAGGCCUAAAAGGAAGGAGAGAUCUUUGGCCUAGCCAAAGGGGAGGUGGGCUGCUCUCCCGCACCCUCAAGCGAGAGAAGGUUCCAGGCUUUUCCAGAGUGACCUCUCUCUUCUUCCUGGGGAGGGCUUAGAGCAAGGGUUACCUUUGGAUGAUUUCUUCUCGCUGAAUUCAGCUACUAAGCACUUUGCCUGGAAAGGAAGGGCACCUUUGAGCUAUUCCUACCGAGGCAGUGUGUGCAUGUGUGUGUCUGUGUGCAUGUGUGUGGGCGUGUGCAUGUGCGUGUGUGUUGCUCCUGACAGGUCCUGAGUGCAGUGCAGAACCACGCAGCGCGCAGCGGGAGGCCUGCAGCCGCUGGGCGUUUUCCCAGGCUGGCCUGCGGCGCGGACGGCCUCCUGGGCCGGUGCUGGGCGGCUGACACAUGCACCAGUUUCGCUGGGCCGGCGCCUCCCCGGGGAGCGGGUGCGGGGCGGGAGAGGUGAGUUGAGCAACAGGGCCCGCCCCGCCCCCGUCCCGGGCCGGCUCUGCGCAGAGGAAGCGUCUGGAACGCCGGCAAUGACAGGGUCUUGCUCUAUCAUCCAGGCUGGAGUGCGGUGGCAUGAUCUUCACUCAUUGCAGCCUCAACCUCCAGGGCUCAGGUUAUUCUGCUACCUCAGCCUCCCAAGCAGCUGGGACCACAGGAUCCAGGGCAGAGAGGGAGCUAUUAAGGAAGAUAACCAAGCUUGGAUUCAAGGGAGUAACUAACCAGCCCAAAGGCACGUUGCAGUGUAGCAGAUUCUUAGAAGACAUUCUGGAAUCAGAGGAAGCUUACUUCAAAUCCUGGUGUAUGAUUUAUCAUCCACAUGACCCAACGUAUAUCACUUAAUUUCUUUAAUCUUUUUCCUCAUCUGCAAAUUGAAGACAAUAUCAGCUACCUUGAAGUGUCCUGAUGUGGAUUAAAGUACAAAACGGAUGUCAAUUUCUCUAGGACCAUGCCUGGCACCCAGCUGUCACAGCCUUCCCUUCUUUUGAAAGUGUUCCUACUGGUAGGGACAUGGCUUCCCUUUCUUAGGUUUUCUUACAUCUGCAAAAAAGGAAGAAGAACAAAGAAUGCUCACAGCAUUCUGCAGGCUUGUUUCACUGAACGGAGAUAGAUACAUGGUAACUGUCUAGGGGAUUUCAGCUGUGCAUGUGUAUUCGCUCCUCCCUGAACAUGGCAGAGCAGAAGAUACUGCAUGCCAUAGAAUUCAUGAAGGGCUCUGUCAUCAUCCAGCUGUGAACAUGGGAUGUCAAACCAGGGUCUGGCUCUGUCACUGCAGCUGGAGUGCGGUGCUAUGAACUUGGCUCACUGCAGCCUUGACCUCCUAGGCUCAAAUGAUCCUCCCACCUCACUCUCCAGAGAAGUUGGGACUACAGGGGAUGAUUGCUGGAGGGUUCUGUUCAGCCAUCUUGCUCCAUCUCCUCUACUGGAAGGGGGAAAUCUGACAGGAUUUCAGUCCACAGGUAAAU